rnacentral:rRNA from 1 species
CGUGUAGGCGGCUCUGCAAGUCAGAUGUGAAAUUCCCGGGCUUAACCCGGGCGCUGCACCUGAAACUGCAGAACUUGAGUACUGGAGAGGAUAGUGGAAUUCCUAGUGUAGCGGUAAAAUGCGUAGAUAUUAGGAGGAACACCAGUGGCGAAGGCGGCUAUCUGGACAGUAACUGACGCUGAGGCGCGAAAGCGUGGGGAGCAAACA